CCCCAAUCCCGUCCAUCCUUUCCUCCCCAAUCCUCGUCUCUCCUUCUCCCCAACCGUGGCGGCGCGCGUGGAGGAGCGGAAAGGGACGGCGGUGACCCAUGCGGCGCCAGCGGUGGCGGACUCGCCCUUCCCCGCGCACGAGGAGACGAGAUCGGAGGGGCCCUCGUCCUGCGCGAGUGGCGGCGUGCGGCUCCUGUCCUCUCGGCUGCGCGCCUAGCGACAGCGGCGGCUGGACGUGGCGGUGGCAGGCAGCGCGCGCGCAGGCGGCGGCGCGUCCACUGCCGGUGGAGCUCAAGAUCUCUGGCCGCUGGACAAGGAGGGAAGGAGCAUCGCCGCCUGGAUUCGCGCCGCUGCCAGCUGGAAUCGCGCCGUCGCCGGCCAGAAUCGUGCCUCCUCCGCCUGGAAUCGCGCCUCCUCAACCUGGAUUCGUCCCUCCUCCACCUGGAUUCGCCCUUCCCCAACGUCUGGCGUCGCCUCUGCUGCUGGUCUGCUGCUUCCCCAAGGGAGUGAUUGAGGGCAGUGGUGAUCCUUCAGACUCAGUCAUCAAGAAAAGGCACAAAAUGGGGCGGUUCUUCUAUCUCAUAUCAUGUAUUUACUUUAUUAUGAUUUUUUUUAUUUAUGAUCUGUUAUAUUAUUGCAUUUAUACUAUACUUGCCGUAUCGCCGUUUCGCUGUUUUUUGAAAUCGCCGUAUGCCGUAUCGCCGUCUCCGUAUCGCCGUAUCCGUGUUGCCGUAUCGGUGCUUCGUAGCCAGUAUGUAAUCUUGGUAGCAGAAAAUAAUUCAAACUUGACUUAGCUUGUUUUAAAUAUCUAUUGUUCGUUGGCUGUCCGUUGUUACUUUCCAGCCGCGGAUUCAUACGAGUUGGAUAUCUCCCUGUUUUAACGGUAGCAUAAACUUUCUGUGGUGAAUUUGUUAGAUAUCUAUUGUAGCUAGGCAUAAUUAUUGUUAUUUUAUAUGAAUAUUUGCAGGAGGAAUUUUUUUGAUCAUACAAAGUCGUUCUUCUGAAAACUGGCUUGAACUUAUACGUGGAAGCAUGCCUAUAUAUAAAUUCCGAAAGAUUAUUUUAAGAUUAUCACCUUUGAUCUCCCGCACUCCAAGCUUUUGCUUCUAUGGAGGAAUUUGUUUGAUCAUACAAAGUCGUUCUUCUGAAAACUGGCUUGAACUUAUACGUGGAAGCAUGCCUAUAUAUAAAUUCCGAAAGAUUAUUUUAAGAUUAUCACCUUUGAUCUCCCGCACUCCAAGCUUUUGCUUCUAUGAUAUGAUGCCAUUGGCCAGCAUGCAGUUCCAGUACCUAUCAUCAUUGUCACUCCAUGGGGUACCACAGUAUUAGUUGAGGAAAGUGGGGUUCGGAACUCUAGCAGAGAAACUGAAGAAAAGUGGGAUUUCAGUCUAGCCAUAUGCUACGCGACUCCUGCUGAUUCUAACUUGAGGAGGACAUAUUAGAGGAUUAGUGCUUUUGGUGGUCCAAUUUGGCAAGAACACGAAGAAGGCCGAGUUGGUGAUGGCCCCUUAUGAGAGUGGCACUGGUAACGGGAAGCUUAUAUGACGUCGAAGAGGCUGCUGAGCAACCCACAGUUCCCCUAGGAUGAUUUAUCUUGCAGAUGGACUUCCGUUAUUAAGUGAGGUGCACAAUACAGUACUUACGUGCGAUAAAAUCACGAUAAAUCGAGAGCAAGGAGAAAUUUUGCCAUCCACAGUGAUGGAAUGCUAUAACACAUGUGUUGAUCUGGAAGCACAUGAUUAGCAAAUUUCUAUGAAAUCAUCUGAGAGCUUCAACUGUUCCGUAUAGGAGCUUCAACCCGAUCUGAUCAUCUGACCAUUUUAUGGAGUGGUGUUGGCUGCAGGAUGGUGUCGCUGCAGGAUGACACAUGAUUAGCAAAUUUCUAUGAAUAUUACCACAGAUGACGACGAGCCCGUGAAUCAAUGGAGGAGGAGGCCAUGGAAGAGAGAAAGGAUGUGUGAAGAUGUUGUGGUUACCGACGGAGCGCUAGCUGUGGGCGACGACCGGGCCAGGCAAGUUCAUCUCAUCCCUCUCCCCUGAGUCUCUCUCUCCUGCGCGGUAGUGCAGACUCAUGGCGUGUGGUAGUGCAGACUCAUGGCGUGUGGUAGUAUCUGGUGGCGCGUGCGGCAACACUCACCCAGAUCGACUCGAUUCUUUUACCUUCGUAGCAGCAGUAAACAAGGCAUGCUAUUUUUAUCGAUUAGCUACUUUCUUUUCUUGGUAUAAAUUUUUGAAGUGUUAGGGAGUUGCAGAUUCUGUGAUCGCGCAUUUGAUUUUUUGAGAGUCCAACACUCUGGUUCCUAAUUAAUAAUUAAUGCGUUUUCUAAACAUGCUGUGUGCCGGAUAUCGAGGUAGUCUGGGUGAGGCCGGUUCAGCCCUGACCCAUGACCUCCUUCUUGCUCUAGACCAGGUGGGACAUGCUAAAUUUCAGAUGCUUUGUUCACCAUUAUCAGAGGUCAGAAGCAGGCAAGGAGAUCUGCACCAUAGUGCAAGGGGAGAGGGGGAUUUUUCAUUUUAUUGUCAGUUAUCUAGGGUACGCAUGCAACCAUGGGAAUAUACCUAAUGCCAAGGGAACUUUUGUGGUUGCUGGAUAUGUCUAUUUACAUUAAAAUUCAUGUUUGGUGGCCGAUAUUGACAUCAGGUCUGAGAAAUAGAGGUGGAUGGGGAGCACGCACUUUAAAUUUAUAUGUGUAACCUUAUUUUGAA